rnacentral:rRNA from 1 species
UACGUAGGGCGCAAGCGUUAUCCGGAAUUAUUGGGCGUAAAGAGCUCGUAGGCGGUUUGUCGCGUCUGCCGUGAAAGUCCGGGGCUCAACCUCCGGAUCUGCGGUGGGUACGGGCAGACUAGAGUGAUGUAGGGGAGACUGGAAUUCCUGGUGUAGCGGUGAAAUGCGCAGAUAUCAGGAGGAACACCGAUGGCGAAGGCAGGUCUCUGGGCUGUAACUGACGCUGAGGAGCGAAAGCAUGGGGGAGCGAACAGG